rnacentral:tRNA from 1 species
GCCGAAGUAGCUCAGCUGGUAGAGCAAUUCACUCGUAAUGAAUAGGUCGUCGGUUCAAGUCCGAUCUUCGGCU